CACCCGCUCGGUGACGUUGGAGGCGUUGACCGGGCUGCUGGCCAGGUUGCUCAGCUGGGCCUUGACCUUGUCCAGCUCGGCCCUGGUGCUGGUGA
rnacentral:tRNA from 1 species